GUAGGGAAUCUUCCACAAUGGACGAAAGUCUGAUGGAGCAACGCCGCGUGAGUGAAGAAGGUUCUCGGAUCGUAAAACUCUGUUGUGAGGGAAGAACAAGUACCGGAGUAACUGCCGGUACCUUGACGGUACCUCAUUAGAAAGCCACGGCUAACUACGUGCCAGCAGCCGCGGUAAUACGUAGGUGGCAAGCGUUGUCCGGAAUCAUUGGGCGUAAAGCGCGCGCAGGCGGUCCCUUAAGUCUGAUGUGAAAGCCCACGGCUCAACCGUGGAGGGUCAUUGGAAACUGGGGGACUUGAGUGCAGAAGAGGAAAGCGGAAUUCCAAGUGUAGCGGUGAAAUGCGUAGAGAUGUGGAGGAACACCAGUGGCGAAGGCGGCUUUCUGGUCUGUAACUGACGCUGAGGCGCGAAAGCGUGGGGAGCAAACAGGAUUAGAUACCCCAGUAGUCC
rnacentral:rRNA from 1 species